rnacentral:rRNA from 1 species
GGUGAACGCUGGCGGCGUGCCUAACACAUGCAAGUCGAGCGGUGCAGUUUGAAGCUUCGGUGGAAAGCUGCAUAGCGGCGGACGGGUGAGGAAAACGUAGGAACGUGCCCCUUGGAGUUGGAUAGCCACGGGAAACUGUGGGUAAACCGACAUAGACUCGAGAGAGUAAAGGCCGAAAGGCGCCAAGGGAGCGGCCUGCGGCCCAUCAGGUAGUUGGUAGUGUAAAGGCUUACCAAGGCGACGACGGGUAGCCGGUCUGAGAGGACGAUCAGCCACACUGGGACUGAGACACGGCCCAGACUCCUACGGGAGGCAGCAGUGGGGAAUCUUGCGCAAUGGGGGCAACCCUGACGCAGCCAUGCCGCGUGAACGAUGAAGGCCUUAGGGUUGUAAAGUUCUUUUAACCCGUGACGAUGAUGACGUAACGGGGGAAUAAGCUCCGGCUAACUUCGUG